GUUGUCGUCGUCGUCAGCGUCGUCGUCGGCGUCGUCCGAAGACAUUGGUUUCCGGACAAUAAUUUUAGUUAAAAUGUAUGGAUCUCUAUGAAAUUUAACCAAAAGGUUCAAUACCACAAAAGGAAGGUUGGGAAUGUUUUUGGGGGUGAUGGUCCCAACCGUUUAGGAAUUAGGGGCCACAACAAGCAUUUUUCUAGUUUCAGGACAAUAACUUGUGUAUAAGUAUUUUGAUUGCUCUGAAAUUGUACCACAAUGUUCAAUACCACAAGUAGAAGGUUGGGAUUCAUUUUGGGGGUAAUUGCCCAAACCGUUCAGGAAGUAGGGGUCAAAAAGGGUCUAAAACAAGCAUUUUUCUAGUUUUCAGACAAUAACUUGUGUUUAAGUGUAUGGAUGUCUCUUCAUUUGUACCACAUUUUACAAAAAGAAAAUUUCUUCAAAAUUAUUUUUUUUGGAAAAGGGGGGGGGGGGUAAAUUUUUUUUUAGGGGGGGGGCAAUUUUUUUUCCUCAAAAGAAAAUUCUCUUCAAAUAUUUUUUUUUUUUUGGGGGGGGGGG